UACAUGAAGCUGGAAUCGCUGUAAUCGCGGAUCAGAAUGCCGCGGUGAAUACGUUCCCGGGUCUUGUACACACCGCCCGUCACACCAUGGGAGUCGGAAAUGCCCGAAGUCUGUGACCCAACCUGAGAGGGAGGGAGCAGCCGAAGGCAGGUCUGAUGACUGGGGUGAAGUCGUAACAAGGUAAC
rnacentral:rRNA from 1 species